AGUGAACGCUGGCGGUAGGCCUAACACAUGCAAGUCGAACGGCAGCACAGUAAGAGCUUGCUCUUACGGGUGGCGAGUGGCGGACGGGUGAGGAAUACAUCGGAAUCUACUUUUUCGUGGGGGAUAACGUAGGGAAACUUACGCUAAUACCGCAUACGACCUACGGGUGAAAGCAGGGGAUCUUCGGACCUUGCGCGAUUGAAUGAGCCGAUGUUGGAUUAGCUAGUUGGCGGGGUAAAGGCCCACCAAGGCGACGAUCCGUAGCUGGUCUGAGAGGAUGAUCGGCCACACUGGAACUGAGACACGGUCCAGACUCCUACGGGAGGCAGCAGUGGGGAAUAUUGGACAAUGGGCGCAAGCCUGAUCCAGCCAUACCGCGUGGGUGAAGAAGGCCUUCGGGUUGUAAAGCCCUUUUGUUGGGAAAGAAAAGCAGCAGGUUAAUACCCCGCUGUUCUGACGGUACCCAAAGAAUAAGCACCGGCUAACUUCGUG
rnacentral:rRNA from 1 species